UGCGUAGUCGGUUAUCUAAGUCAGGUGUGAAAUCCCCGGGCUCAACCUGGGAAUUGCAUUUGAUACUGGAUAGCUAGAGUUCGGCAGAGGGAAGUGGAAUUUCUGGUGUAGCGGUGAAAUGCGUAGAUAUCAGAAGGAACAUCAGUGGCGAAAGCGACUUCCUGGACCAGAACUGACGAUCAGGCACGAAAGCGUGGGGAGCAAACAGGAUUAGAUACCCUGGUAGUCCACGCCAUAAACGAUGACAACUAGACGUUGGGGACAUAUGGUUCACAGUGUCGCAGCUAACGCGUUAAGUUGUCCGCCUGGGGAGUACGGCCGCAAGGUUGAA
rnacentral:rRNA from 1 species